CCUUCAGGCUACGCUGGAUUAAAAAAUGUGUUCUUUUAUACAAGAAGCAAGAAGCAAUCAAGGUUGUGUAGUGAACAAGUUGAGAGCAAGAUACCAAUUGCUAGUUAUCCAUAUAUGGCAAAAUCAGCACAACCUUUUGGAGCCGAGCCUAUAAAAGGGGAGCCACCCGGCCAGCAGUAACAAACAAACCAGAGCAACCACCUUCCGGUUCCAGAUAAUCUCAUAUAAGCACAGUCAGAUAGCGAAAUCACCAGCGAGCGAUCAUCAGGAAUAGAUGGAGCAGGUGACGAAGCUGGCGUCUGAGCGGGCGGUAGUGGUGUUCACGUCGAGCAGAUGCUGCAUCUGCCACUCCGUGACGUCCCUUCUCAGCGGCCUCGGCGUCCACGCAGCGGUGUACGAGCUGGACAAGGAUCCCCGGGGCAGGGAGAUGGAGAGGGAGCUCGCUAGGAGACUUGGCCGCGGCCCGCCGGUGGUUCCAGCGGUGUUCAUCGGCGGGAACCUUGUCGGUGGCACCAAAAGGGUCAUGGAGAUGCACCUCGCCGGCGAGCUCGUGCCCAUGCUCAAGGCCGCCGGCGCGCUCUGGCUCUAGUGAGACAAUACUUGCAUGCUCGCUCAGUAUGCAAUGCUAGCCUUUUUGACAGUAUAUAUAGAAUAACAAGAGAUCUAACAGAUGAAAAGCCCAGGUUUUUUAAUAUCCUGUGCCGGCUCCAUGGGGAGAAGAGUUAAACUACCCAGCUAAUCAACGGCAAGAUAAUUCAAUACUACCCGGCCCCAACGGUAGUACGAUGUACCGUAAAAAAUCUCUUUAUUAAACACGCAUAUGCAUCAGCUGUCUUCUGAGGAGCGUAUGCGUUGGAUGUAGCCAAGGCGAACCCAGCUUCUGGUUGUCGAGAAGAGGAAGAAAUGAGAGAGACGCGUCUAGGGGAGCGAUCACGGCGCUUACUCUACCACAAAUCAUGUUAGCUGUAUUAAGUUAGUGCUUGGCUUAGUGCUAGAAUGUACUUCCACCGUAUCAAAAUAAGUGUCUUAACUUUAUACUAAUUCUAGUACAAAGUUAUACUAAGAUUGAGACACUUAUUUAGGAAUGGAGUGAGUACUAGAAGGUCUACAGACCUCACUCUUAAUUAUCCACCAUCUCUUGAUGUGUAACUGAACUUGUACGAGUUGUAUAUAAACAGCUCAAUACUAUUGAGAACAAUCACGGUAUUUACCGCUCU